AGCGUAGCGCGGGUGAUCAUCUA
rnacentral:siRNA from 1 species